rnacentral:tRNA from 1 species
GCCCUGGUGGUUCAAAGGUUAAAUGUUUGGCAGCUAACUAAAAGAUUGGUGGUUCAAACCCACCCAUUGGCU